GAUGACGGACUGGCCCACCCCCUUGCUCAUCGUUGUGGGGACUCUACACCCAUCCUGGUCAACCACCCUUGGUAUGACCUGGGCAGAGACAAUGCUAGUUUCAUUGUCACCUCCAUGACCCUUCCUCAUCAGGAUCUUCCUCAUCAGGAUCUUCCUCCUCCCUCCUCAGUCCCUUUCCCUGGUUUCCCCUUGGUUCUCUCCCACCCCUUUCCUUUUGGGGGAACACCUGUCCAAGACAGGGCUUGUUUUUGCACUUAUCUCAAAUUUGAAGAGAUUGCUGAUGCCCGAGAGCCUCGCUUUUUCAUCCUUCUUUCCCUGCCGAGCAGGUGAGACGGAAUCAUGUCUCAAUUGCUUGUUGUCCAUAAACCUCCAGUAUUUUCUCUGCCUCAUUUUUAAGAGAGAAGCAAUGGAGAGACAUUGUUCUUUGGCUUGGGUGUCUAGGCUCUGGCUUUCCAGCCCAGCCUCUCUCCCUUUGCUCUUCCUCCUGCCUCUCUCAACCGUCCUAAGGGAGCCGCCUCUGGGCUCCAGUGCAUGCUUUUCAGGAGAGAGGUGUGCAGUGUUCUUGUAGACCCAGUGAUCCCCCUUGAGUGACGGGAAAGUAUUAUGUGUUUCAUAGCAGCCAUGAUUCCCUUGAUAGGUGUUUGGGUAUUUUUUGAUGUGCUCUGUGUAUGUGUGCACGCAUGCAUGUGAGAAUGUGUGUGUGUGUGGGUGUGUGUGGGGGUGUGUGUGUGUACACGUACAAAUACAUGUGUAUAUUCCUUGUGAAGAAGCUUUACUGAAUGUGUUCUGGUUUUGAGGUUUAGUAGUAGUAGCUAGCUGUAGUAGGUCCGCUGCAGUUUUUAUUUAGCAUGGGGAUUGCAGAGUGACCAGCACAGUGGACUCCACGGUGGUUCAGACAAGACCCAGGGAGCAGUGGCCAUCAUCCUCCCGCCAGGAGCCCCUUCGUUUGUGCACGUAGACUGUCCACUAGGAAGAAUACACAGGAAGACUUGUUGACUGGGUACUUGUUCUGUUUUCUCUGCGCUUCAGUAACAAGUGUUGGCAAAUGAGACUUUCUCCUGGCCCCUGCCCACUGGGGAUCAGCAUGGUUGUUCUUCCAGUCGGAAAUGUCCUCUUGUGUACGAGUGAGGAUGAUGGGCCAGGCACAGAACUGGAAGCAAGCAUCUGGGGAGUGGGACUUCAAGGCCACACUUGGGAAACACUUGGACUGCUGUUGUAAAGCUUUUUUUUUUCUCCUGGUGUGUUCGUUCUACAGCUGUUUGAAAUGUUUAAUAAAGCUUUAUAAACUUUACUUCGUGAUUUUAUGUGGCUGCAGUCCAUUUGGGUCAUGGUGUUGGAUUUCUGAGUUGGUGGGGGGCAGGGUAAAAUACUCGGCUGAGUCCUUGGCGCCAGAGCACCUUAGCUAGAGAAUUUGAUCUGUUCUGUGGCGAGCAGAUGGUGGUGUUGGGGGAGGGGCAGGGGUAGUCCAGGCGGUGAACAGGAGGGAGUCUGAAAGUUUUCAGAGAUGAGACAUUUGCACUUCUCAGCUCCCAUGGCUUCCCGCCUGAAACUGUUUGCUCCAUAGAAGACUUUAGUAAUGGAUCCCUUGAUAAACAACUUGGGACAGCUGGGGCUCUCUCUAAUCAAGGAUUUUUAUGGUGCUGCUUUUGAAGUAAAAAUAAGUGAAACCCCUCAUGGCAUUUCAUCUGGAGAAAUAAAUAAGGCUUGCCAUCCACCCAGCAUAUCUCAGUGAUAGCUAGAAGCACGAGGGGAUACAGUCCUCUGCUGCAGACAUACGUGUGUUAACUGUGGCUGUGACCUGGGACACUCAGUUGUGGCAGCAUGUCACGACCCUGUGUUGGGCAUCACCUCCAAGUCUCCUCCCUCUCAAAAUGCAGAAUAGGAGCACUGCCUGAGAAAUGGGAGCUCUCGUGAGGGUUGCUAAGAUAAUGCUGGAGGAUGGUUUGGUGACGUUAGGGAAGUUCAUGGUGACCUGCCUAGACUUCUCCUUUGUUGUGGGAAAACUGGAUUUACCUCUGCUGUUCUGCCUUUUAUUUAUUUAUUUAUUUAUUUUGCAUUCCUGAUAUUGCUGGCCCAUGCUUUCCUCUUCUUGAUUAUAACUUUCCAAAGAGCCAGGUGUAGUGGUUCACACCUAUAAUCCUAGCACUUAGGAAGCUGAGGCAGGAGGAUUGCCAGCCUAGACUACAGAGUGAGAACCUAUCUAAUACAAAACAAAAUCAAAUGACCAAAGCUGUGUCUGUUUUAGAAGGGUUUCCUUUGAAAAUCGGCAGUGAUCAUUCUGGGGACGUCGGUCUGCUUCCAUGUUGCUCUUACCUCUUGAGGUCUUUACUGUGCGUAGCUGUUCGGGAUUCUGCAGAGCCAUCCGGACAAGCUGAGGAGCUGGGCGUAGGGAAAGGCCAGUUUGUUCAACAAGCACAGAGCCCCUGUACAAGGCUUGCCGGGGAUUUCAGGACACGCAGGCCUGACACUCCAGGACCUCAUGAUUCUAGCCUAGUGGAGAGACUUAGCAAAACAGACAACUGCAGAUUCCAAAAACAAAACAAACAGACAGAGGCUUUUGUGUCCCUCUCCUGUGGAGGCACCUGGAUCAGAAAUGAAGCCAAGAUCAUUGCUUAUUUUGCUCUCCGUUGGAAAGCAGCUUUCUGUCCUAGAUCUUGUGCUCGAGAGUCACGUAUAGGCUUCCCUCCAAGAGAUUUGUGGUCCUUUCAGUAGGGUGCUGAUAGCCCAUCCUUCUCAGGGUGCUUGCCACCUGAGGGUUCUGUCUGCCCACAGGGUUCCCUACAUCACCUAGGAUGCUAUCCCUCUUCCUGAACGAUCUUCCAGGAAAACAAAAAGAAGACACUUCCUGUGCAGAAGGGCCCAGGUCUUCGAGGGCCCCACACUGUACUUCUGUUGCCACUGGGACUCUUUGAGAAGGUGUCCUGCUUCCGCUGUCAGUUCCUGAUCAAAAAAAAAUGUGGUCUUUGGAACAAAUACAGUUCUCCCAGCCCUGGUGAUCUGGGAGUCUUUACUGUUUGAAUCCUAGGCUGAUGGGAGAGCCCAGCCGAGGAAGGUAGCUGGACUGAGUUGGCGACAGAGUACUUGGGAGCUGCCUGCAUAUGCCUUGAUCAGUGUGCCAUGUGUGCCCAGACCCUACCUGUGGCGGGGAACUUCAUUUCUUCCUUCUCUGUGCUGAGAGCGUGUCUACAGCCCAUCCAUCAUUCAGCUGUCAUGCAUACUGUUGCUGAGCUAUGGCAGAGUUCCUUUAGCAACUGAGUCCCUGGAGGGCAUGGCCCAUGAGUCCUGCUCAGGAGACCUGCCCUAUUAUUCUCCAGUUUUUGUCAGUCUCGUGUGGUGAGACCCUGGGACCACAGUGGACAGUUUCCACUGUCACAGUGUCCUCCAGACUAAAGAAAAAGGGGAGAGUAUUUACUGGUCAAGUCAUCCUAGAGACCCAUGGCUAGGCACUGUGGCAGGGUUCUAAGGGUCUCGGGAAGGAGCUGAUGCAGACUAGGACCGGCUUUCAGACCUGGAGAUCAAGUGUGACUGUUUGAGCAGUGAAGUGAUACAUGAGAUGUUGCUUGUCACCAUCUAAUCCAGCAUCUUGCCUACAGAUAGAGACUGAACUGCAAAGUAAAAUGAAGGACCACUAGUAUCUGGCUGCCUUAGAAACAGACCCCAGAAAGCUUCUGGGGAAAAAGGUCAGUCUGUUUAAACCUAGAACAGUGACAAUUAGGGGGCACUAAGGGGAGGGUUUUAAAGCUGAAUUGCUGCUAGCAAGCCCCCAAAACCGUCCUGAGAGUUCCAGUUGCCAGCUGACGAGGAGCCAUCACAGUAAGCAGUUUGUGAGUUAGGCUUCGUCCAUCCCGAAGGGGUGUGUAGCUCACUGGGAGUGAGGAGAAAGGGCUCCGAAGUGGCCCUGGUGAGUUCAGCGUGGCAGUACUGGGUGAACGGGUAUGUUGGAACCAGCAUUGUCCCUCUGGGUCAGGCCAAGCCACAUAGCUGGAGGGUCCAUAGCAGCCUGUCUCUUUGGGGAAUCUAGGGAAGGGACUCGAAUACUAGGGCCAUGAGUGGAUGAGAAGGCUAAAAACCCUGCUAGGAGGAGUCAAGGAGCCCUGGGUCUUAGGCUGGCCUUUGUGACUUGCACCUGUCCACAUCCCCCCACCCCAGCCGUAGUUUCCUCCCCUUAAAGUGGAGGCCAUUAGCAUCAGUCUCAGAGUAGUCUCCGAUGGCACUCCCUCGUCAGUGGGAGGGCACUCCAUGUCUCUGACUAGGCUCUGUCUCUUCCGAGCAGCCAGUGCAGGGGCAUGUGUGAGGUGCCUUGUCGGAUCUGCUUGAACAAGACCCUCCUAAAGACAAAUCUCUGGGUAGUUCUGGCCUCUCACUUGCCCUGGGCAGUUGUAGAGAGCACAUACUUGGACAACUUGCCCAUGCUGCCAUUCCCCUGUCCCAUGCUAGUGGUGACAGCCUUCCAAAAAAAGGCAGCGAGACACAGAAGAUUGUAGGGCCCUGGGCUUGAUUCCCCACCACUUGGCAUGUGACUUUGUUCUUCACUGUUCAUGUUCCUUGAGGCCUGUUGCCCCAUUUAUUUAUUAGUUAAGGAAGAAGUCUUUACCAUUUCCAGAACCAUCUCCUGUGAGAGAUUGGUGACCUUUACUCUUGUUACUUUAGUUUAAAAAAAAAAAAAUGCUGGCUAAAAGUUGUUAAGGCAAUGAAGGAUUUAAUCAAAGGAUUUUGCACUAGAGGAAUCAGCUUGAGUUUUACGUCUGCAUGCAGAAGUGCCAAGGCAGAUGUGGAAGGCCCGUGAGGGAGGAGACAGACAAAACAUUUCAGCGGUUCCCGGGUUCCCACGCCUUAGCUGCAUCAUCAAGGUCCUGCAUGACCCUUAAUCCUAGAGGCUUUGUCACUUGACCAGUCACAGAACCUGGCUGACCAGGCCUGGCACAGUACCUGUUGGUCUGUGGCUUUGGGGUAAAUAGGUGUGGCUCAAGUCAGGCAAUGCUAGACUCCUAAGGGCACUAGGUGACUGGUCUUCCUAGAAGGCAGAAAAUCACCUCCCAAGACUCCUCUUGGCAGCUCUGAAGUGACAAGGAUUAUUUUCCAGACUAGUCGUUUGAGAAGAACCUCAAAAAGCAUACAGCUUGGCAUCCCUUUCUGUACAGAGCCUAUGAGGCAAGCACCUGGCAGGCCGGAGGUAGCGGAUUCCUGAUUAAAUCCUCAUCUCCCUGCCCUGUGUUUUGCCUUCAUGUACGUAAUGCACCGUGUGUGUGCCUGGUGCCCAUGGAGGCCAGAAGACAGCACUGGAUCCCCUGGAACAAGAGUUACAGACAAUUGCGAGCUGCCAUGUGGGUAUCAGGAACCGAACCCAGGUCCUCUGCAAAAGCAGCUACUGCUGUUAACUGCUGAGCCAUCACUCCAACCCCCGUACUGUUUUCAAUCGAGAUUAGCUUAGAUAGGUAAAGUCCUCAUCCUGAUCUCCCCAGUGAGAAUGCUUCUCCACUGACUUGCUGGAGUUACCACCACUCACCAGGCCUGUCCCCCAUCUGCAGAGGGAGGCCGCUGAACUAGGUUCUCCCCAGUUCCUUUUCAGUGCUAACAUCACAUCUUCAGGGGUGACAGUGCUGAUGGGGAAAUGGAGACCCCAGACUUGUCACCUCCACAUUUGGAACAUGGAGGGAUCGAAAUAGCUGUAUCCCCAAGAAGGCGAAUUUGCCAGGAACUGGCUGAGAUGAUUCUGCUGCUUGUGGUGAAAUGUCUUGGCAGACCAUUCAGGUAGGUUGGUACAGGUGAGGGAGGGGGUGGGGUUAACACUCUUUCGGCCCCUGAGUAAUGUUUCCUUGCAGGAUUGGAUGCCUACAGACUGGUGGAUGCCAACUAGAUGGAUCCAUCCACAUUGGCAAAGUAGAGCUGGAGUCCCACGGACAGCAAGCUUGCUGAACAUCUCUCACAGUCCCGCCCGACUUUCCAACCAGACCCUGUGACUCGUCUCUUCAGGCUGCUGAUCACUGUGUGCUUUUGUGAGCCAAGGCUGUGUUUUAAUGAGCAAGGCUUUGAAAAGUGUCUUAAUACCUGAUACGGUAAGUACCCUUACCCUGCCCUCCAUUCUUUUUAAAAAAAAUCACCUUGUUAUAUUGCUGGUUUACUUUUAUAUAUCUUAUAAUUAGCUUGUCAAAGUUCCAUGGGGGAAAAAAAAACCUUAUUAAGUGAGACUGCAUUGGAGGGAAAAUAGCGUCAUUAGGAUGCCAUCAGCUUCUCCCAUCUGCCACUGCGGCGCCGUCUCCCGUGGUCAGUCUCCCUUGUUUGGUGUGGUUUUGCUCUGCUUUUAAUACCUUCUAAUAAAAGCUGGCCCCGCAGGUCGCAGACAUCCUCCACAUUUCUUAAUGGCUUGACUCCUGAACACCUUAUUAGUUUUGUUGCUUUCGUGAAUGGAAAAACUUGCCCAGUUUUUCAUUUCACUUUCCAAAUUUUAAUCAGUUUGCUAAUCACUGUGCUGCAUUCACAGACACACACCAAGUGAACGUGCUUUUUCCCUGGACAGACAAAUGAGAGUACAGCACACGUGCAUUCUCAGCUAAUUGACAAGGAAUGAAUUUGAAUGUUUGAAUUAAAUUUCAAUUAUACAAGUAAAACACAAAUACAUUUUCUUUUCAAUACAGUCCACAUUACAGAUGGGGCAUCCCUACUUGGCCCUUAGCCUCUGCCUUGGGUCCGUACACCUUCAGGGGAGAGCUGGUAUUAGUGCCUCUGUUUGUCUAGUGUUUGCUUGUGCCCUUUCCAACAUGUCUGUUCUUUCUUUGGUCUGUCUACAUAGGCAGGUGGUGUCCACUGGAGGUGCUUUCUAUGCUGUGUGCCCUGCAGGACUCACCUCGAGUGGCUGUCUGCAUCUCUAUUCACUCCAGUGCUCCACACAGCUGGCCGCACACAGCCGCAACAAGCAUGUCCCCUUCCGUUUUAAUGUUUCCUGUUGGUUGGCUGUGGAAAUGCCUUUGGUGGUGUUCAUAACAAACAUGCUGAGGGUACCCUUCAUUAGUCCCUUUUUGCUCACAUACACGUAUUUCUAUAGGACAAGUACUUGGAACUGUUGGGCCACAGGGAAGACACGUCCUGAAUUCAGAUAAAAACAGCUACAGUCUCCUGCCAGAACCUCUCCAACUUUAACAUCUCACCAGUUGGAUGGGUAAAAAGACUGUCGCGGAAUGUCGAUGGUAUCAUCUAAGCCUGCUCCCUUUACCUGGUACCACCCCACUGGUCGGGUAACUGUGAGGCCGUCCCUGGUCUUCUGCUUGUCUGCUCCCAGGCUUGCUGCUAGGCUGUGGUAAGAGCAGGACCAACUCACCCUCUCCACUGUGCAGAGCUGCUUUGCACCUUAGUCCUACCAUACGAAUUUUAAAUUUAUCGAUUUCCAAGAGAACUUUUGUUGGAGUUACACUGAACUCACAGAUAAGCCUGAGGGAAAUCAGUCUCCCUUUCUUGUGUGCUCCAUGCACCCUCCCAGCCCAGGGCAUCUUGUCCCUCUGGAGAAGAUGGCUGCUUUCUCUGGGUCAUCUUGCUUUUUGUUCCUUGAUGGAUUUAAUCCUCAGUCCUCUUGCAGGGUUUUCCUGCAGCUCUGGAUGGCGGGUCCCCUCUGCUCCUGCUUGCUUGACCCGUGCUCUCCAUCUCCACCACUCACUAAUCAGCGAGCUUGCUCUGCAGACACACAGAGUAAACGUUCUUCCUCCCUGGGCACAAACACGCGAGCACCGCCGAACACAGAGCUGGCAUAAUUAGCUGAAAACAAAUUAGAAUCUUUCCAAAUUACACUUUAAUUAAGCAAGCAAAGCCUGAAUACAUUCUCCCUUUUAGAGGUGGAAUGGCGUGGACCCAGCUGCUGUCUCUGCCACCUGAGACUGGGGCCUUCUCCUCCAGGAAGCCUCUGUGCAGAGCUUCAGGGAUGUCUUUUCAGAAAACAUACAUCUUAGCGGUGGUGAGGGGAUGUGGAACGGAUGUGGCCCAGUCAUGGGCGUUAGGCUGUACUUGUCUCAUUUACUGUCUACCUGGGUCAUACUCACCUGUGUUCUGUUUGCCUUUCAAACACCAUGAUCCUGAAGUUCCGGUUUUUCCUCAGUCAGAAAGAGCACACAGAACUCCAAGACACAGGCUCUAGAAACACUCUCCAGGCCAGGGUAUCCACUGUUUGAGUUUUUGGUUGAUUUUGAUUUUUGAAACAAGAUUUCAUGUAGCCCAGGCUGGCCUCAAACUCACUGUAUAACCAAGGAUGACCUUGAACUCUAAUCUCACUGCUUCCCUCUCCAAUUGUUAGAGCUACAGGCCGCUACAUCCAGUCAGAUUUAGACUCUUACUUUGCCUUCUGAAGGUCUUCCCUUCACCAGCCUUACAAAUAUUUUUCCACUGAAGACUUCCUGCUGCUUUCUUACAUUUGUAUCACAUGAUUGUUUUCCAGCUCUCACAUCUAACACAUCACUGCAGGCGAAGUUUAUUAGAGUGUGUAUUGGUGUUUAGUUUUGAUACAUUUCAAAAUGGAUGACUAAGUUUUCCAAUACAACGUACUGGCCAUGCUGUCCUCCCCUCCAGUGAUUCUGCCUCACUCCCAGCUGUGUCCAGCAUGGCUCUUCCUCUCCAGCCAUCCGUUUGCUCCCUGGAGUUGCUUUGAUAACAGCCAGAGCAAUCCACUCUGUUAGUUUUGUGGCCUCAUCUUGGUCUUGUAUGUUGUCAUACAGUUUACAUUUUUGAACCAGCUGCUCAAGCUUUAAAACCUUGCUGGGAUUUCUAGGGGAUCUGUGGAUGAAUUUGAGGGAAAUGGGCAUCUUUAUCUUGUAACACAUACGGUGCCUCCCAGUUCCAGGCAUCUUCCUGCCUUUUAGAAGUUUGGUGUUUUUCCUCUGGUGACAGACAGUCUUGCCUAUUUCUUGGUUUAUUCUUAGGUACUUAAGGUUUUGCUAGCAGCCCUCUGCUCCUGCUUGCUUGACCCGUGCUCUCCAUCUCCACCACUCACUAAUCAGCGAGCUUGCUCUGCAGACACACAGAGUAAACGUUCUUCCUCUCUGGGCACAAACACACGAGCACCGCCGAACACAGAGCUGGCAUAAUUAGCUGAAAACAAAUUAGAAUCUUUCCAAAUUACACUUUAAUUAAGCAAGCAAAGCCUGAAUACAUUCUCCCUUUUAGAGGUGGAAUGGCGUGGACCCAGCUGCUGUCACCUCUACCAAAGUCCUAUAUCCCACCUCCUCCUCCCCCACAGCUUUGUGCAUGUUUCUAGGGCAUGCAUGAAAUCCAUGCGGGUGCUUUGAAGGAGUCCACUGUGUUGAGAGCUUGCCGGAGGCUGCAUCUUGACGCGCUCUGGUAUCUUUACAACACAGCCAUGCAGAUUCCGAAAGCUCUUGUCCUCUAACACAGUGGAGCAUGUAUUCCUCAGUUCUCACAUUCUCCAUCUCCAGGCUCCACCAACAUUUAGUUGGUUCUUUGUCUCUGUUCUGUUCUGAGCAUCCUUUUCUUGGCACUGAUGAAGAGGUAGGAUGCUGGGUCUGCACAUUUUCAAUUUUAGCAGACUUCACCGGUGCCCUCCAUGGUUUCUGUACCAUGCAAGCAUCUAGCCAGAGGCUGACUAAUCCCCACACCGGGAGCAGUUGUCAGUGUUUGCCGAUCGGAUGGGUGAAAAGUUAAAUCCCUUUUUAAAUUUGUAUUUUCCUGUUUGCCAGUGAGGUUUUCGUGUGUACAUUGGGCAUUUUUAUUAUUCCUGCCGCUCUGAACUACCUGUUUUUGCAUUAAGUUCUUCAUUGACCUGUACAAUGUCCUGAUGUAAUCUGGAUAGUAAGCUUUUGUGCAUUUUGGACAAAUAUUUUUUUCUGGCUUUCAGCUCUUUGUAGACUCCUGUGUUAGACAGAAGUUACCAAUUUUGAUCUAAUGCAUUUCCUCAAUCUCCUUUAUUCCUUUUUGAAUAUAUAUCAUGUUUGGUUUAAAUGGACCUUUUAUUCUUUUCUAAUGGUUUCACAGUUUUUGUUCUUGGCUCUUUCUUGUAUCUGGAAUGUAUUUCUGAUUGGAUUGAGACAGCAUCUAACCUUUCUCAAAAUGGACAGCCAAUUAUCGGAACACAAUAGAAUGAUCGGCUUGUUCAUCCUUUCUCUGCCGCUCUGAUGGGAUGCUUCUCUAGACUGAGGAGGCCCCAUUGCUAGGGGGCUGCGGGGGCCCCUGUGUUUUUUUUUGGGGGGGGGUAUUUUUUUUAACUAAUCUGUUUAUUCCUGUCAGCACAAGACUUUAAUUUGCCAUUGCUUUUUACCACCUUUUGAUAUCUGUUAAGUAAAAUGCCACAUUUCACCGUACUCCCUUACAGCUGUCUUAGUUCACUCCUCCACACGGAUUUUAAAAGCCACUUGUCAAAUACUGUGAAUGCCGAGAUUAAUCGGGGGAAACUGACAUCAGUACAAUGCUGUGCCGUUCACUGCAGGGACGAGGCAGAACUCUGUUUGUCCAUCAUGUCUUCCACACACCCAGCUUUCUCCUGAGAAACUUGUGGCUUUCCUCUCGGGUUUCUUUCUUUGAUUUCCAUUAGUGUUGUGAAUGAGUCUUCACUGCCGCCUCCCCCGUUUUGUUUGGCUUUUGUUUGCUACAUUUCUUUUUAAUCUCCUUUCUAAUGGCUGCACUUCAUUCACAGACACACACAAAGUAAAUGUUCUUCCUCCCUGGGCACAAACACGCAAGCACAGCCGAGCACAGAGCCAGCAUAAUUGGCUGAAAAUGAAUGGGAAUUUUUUCAAAUUAAAGUUUAAUGACACAGCGAACAUGAAUACAUCCUCCUUUUUAAGAACCAGAGCACCGCUGCUAGAGCCGGAGUCCCUUCUGGCCACCUGCUUCCAUCCCGUUCCCUUCCUCUUCCCCAGGGGCAGCCACCGUGAUGGCUUGGUGUGGACUUUUCUAAAAACUUGUAAAUGUACCUGCGUACCCACAGGAAACAGAGAAUUGUGUCCAUACUCAGUUUUUACACUGAGGGACUAUUAUUAAGGCUGCAGAAUGGGGUGACAGGAUUGCCACGCGUCCUGAUGUGGCAGUGGGGGACAGCGGGAAGACUGAGCAGCUGUGGACACAUGGAGGAACGAGGAAGGAAGGGGCGGCUAGCUCCCAUCCAUACCAGUCAGAGAUCACAGAUAGAACUGUAAACCGUGUGUGGGCAUGGGGCUGUCAGGAGUGGUUUCCAAAGCCCCAAGCUUAGUCUGUCAGUGGGACAUAGAGGCCCUACAGAUAAGAAAGGGGGGAGGGGACAGCAGCUGCAGUCGUGAGACCUGUGAACCCCUUUCAGUGGCAUGGGACUUAGAAGGGCAGCUUCAGAGCCCCGCUGCUUCGCUCCCUCGCCAGAGAUGUGCUGGCACCUUUCCUGGCCUUCCCCUUCCCUUUCUGUCUAGGUGCUGCUGGGUGCAAACAUGAAACUUGGAACUCUGGCAGCCAUCCUGUGAUCAGGAGGGAACGAGACUGCUGACUCUGAGCCAGCCUACCUGCAACCACUGACUUCUGAAUUGUUCACACUUGAAUAAAUGCUCUUGCUGUUAGCUCCUCUUA